AGCGAGUACAAAUAAGGAUAGCAUAUGGACACAGUUUAGCUAUAACCAGUUACGACAGUCAGCGAAAUUCUUCGUAUAAUAUUUUACGACGCAUGCGUCAACUGUACUAUCUAAAAUAUGGCGGACAUGGCGAGCUACGCGGUACGAAGCUAUAAGCUAGACAUGUGAUAAUUGCGUGUUAGAGGUUAUAUUGUGUGAAUAAUUUUUCAGUGAUAUUAAGCGAUAUUAAUUAGGUAACAUAAACAUCAAAGGUUCCGACUGUACUGUCGUAACUGGUUAUAGCUAAACUGUGACAGUACUUAAGAUGAUCUUAAAUAUAAGAUCCAACUAUGAAUACCGGCCUAAGUAGAUAAUUUUUGUUUUUAUAAACAAAAAAGUACUAACUUUUUUAUUACUAAUUUAUUUUAUAUGUAGUAUCACAAUAUGUAAAAACAUAAUAUAUAAAUUAGAAUUUUGACAAUAGUUUUCCACAUCACCCGUGAGGUAUCAUUAUUGAUGCUUUUUUUAAGUGGUUUUCUCAGUAGGCCUAAUCCACUAAAAGAUGAAAUAUAAUAUAUAGCUUGACAG